rnacentral:rRNA from 1 species
UACAGAGGGUGCAAGCGUUAAUCGGAAUUACUGGGCGUAAAGCGUGCGUAGACGGUUAUGUAAGUCAGAUGUGAAAGCCCCGGGCUCAACCUGGGAAUUGCAUUUGAGACUGCAUAGCUAGGAUGCGGAAGAGGGCAGUGGAAUUUCCGGUGUAGCGGUGAAAUGCGUAGAUAUCGGAAGGAACAUCAGUGGCGAAAGCGACUGCCUGGUCCAGCAUCGACGUUCAGGCACGAAAGCGUGGGGAGCAAACAGG